rnacentral:rRNA from 1 species
GGAGAGGACGACCAGCCGCACUGGGACUGAGACACUGCCCAGACUCCUACGGGAGGCUGCAGUCGAGAAUCAUUCGCAAUGGGCGAAAGCCUGACGAUGCGACGCUGCGUGGAGGACGAAGGCCCUCGGGUCGUAAACUCCUGUCAUGCGGGAAAAAGGUGUCCGAUGUAAAUAGCGCCGGACCUCGAUGGUACCGCAAGAGGAAGCCACGGCCAACUCUGUGCCAGCAGCCGCGGUAAGACAGAGGUGGCGAGCGUUGUUCGGAUUUACUGGGCGUAAAGCGUGCGUAGGCGGUACCGUGUGUCGAGUGUGAAAUCCCUGGGCUCAACCCAGGAAGUGCGCUCGAAACUGCGGUCCUUGAGCACAGGAAGGGAGAGCGGAAUUCACGGUGUAGCGGUGAUAUGCGUUGAUAUCGUGAAGAACACCGGUGGCGAAGGCGGCUCUCUGGAAUGUUGCUGACGCUGAGGCACGAAAGUUGGGGGAGCAAACAGGAUUAGAUACCCUGGUAGUCCCAACCGUAAACGGUGCGCACUGGGCGUGGGGAGAUUUCACCCUCUCCGUGCCGCAGCUAACGCGUUAAGUGCGCCGCCUGGGGAGUACGGCCGCAAGGCUAAAACUCAAAGAAAUUGACGGGGGCCCGCACAAGCGGAGGAGCAUGUGGCUUAAUUCGAUGCAACGCGAAGAACCUUACCUGGGUUUGACAUGCAGCUGCACGUCCCAUGAAAGUGGGAUUCCUUCGAGGGUGCUGCACAGGUGCUGCAUGGCUGUCGUCAGUUCGUGCCGUGAGGUGUUUGGUUAAGUCCAGCAACGAACGCAACCCCUGUGCUUAGUUGCCAUCGGGUAAUGCCGGGAACUCUAAGCAGACUGCCUGUAUACACAGGAGGAAGGUGGGGACGACGUCAAGUCAGUAUGGCCCUUACACCCAGGGCUGCACACGUGCUACAAUGGUCGGUACAAUGGGACGCAAGACCGCGAGGUGGAGCAAAUCCCCAGAGCCGACCUCAGUUCAGAUUGCAGUCUGAAACUCGACUGCAUGAAGUUGGAUUCGCUAGUAACGGCGCAUCAGCUACGGCGCCGUGAAUACGUUCCCGGGCCUUGUACACACCGCCCGUCACAUCAUGAAAGCCGUCUGCACCCAAAGCCGCCGUUUCAACCCGCAAGGGAGAUAGGCGUCCAAGGUGUGGGUGGUGAUUGGGAUGAAGUCGUAACAAGGUA